UGGGGAAUCUUGCGCAAUGGGCGAAAGCCUGACGCAGCAACGCCGCGUGUGUGAUGAAGGUCUUCGGAUCGUAAAGCACUGUCGCGAGGGAAGAUACGCCACCGCCUAACAUGCGGGGGCUAAGACGGUACCUCGAGAGGAAGCACCGGCUAACUCUGUGCCAGCAGCCGCGGUAAUACAGAGGGUGCGAGCGUUGUUCGGAAUUAUUGGGCGUAAAGCGCUUGUAGGCGGCCUGGAAAGUCGCGUGUGAAAUCCCCUGGCUCAACCAGGGAAGUGCGCGCGAAACUUCCGGGCUUGAGUGCCGGAGAGGGUCGCGGAAUUCCCGGUGUAGAGGUGAAAUUCGUAGAUAUCGGGAGGAACACCAGUGGCGAAGGCGGCGACCUGGACGGACACUGACGCUGAGACGCGAAAGCGUGGGGAGCAAACAGGAUUAGAUACCCCCGUAGUCC
rnacentral:rRNA from 1 species